rnacentral:rRNA from 1 species
ACGGAGGGUGCAAGCGUUAUCCGGAUUCACUGGGUUUAAAGGGAGCGCAGGCGGGCAUGUAAGUCAGUGGUGAAAGCCUAGAGCUUAACUCUAGAACUGCCAUUGAUACUAUGUGUCUUGAAUAUUGUUGAGGUAUGCGGAAUGGGUCAUGUAGCGGUGAAAUGCAUAGAUAUGACCCGGAACACCAAUUGCGAAGGCAGCAUGCUAAACAAAGAUUGACGCUGAGGCUCGAAAGCGUGGGGAUCAAACAGGA